UACGAAGGGGGCUAGCGUUGCUCGGAAUUACUGGGCGUAAAGGGCGCGUAGGCGGACAGUUUAGUCAGAGGUGAAAGCCCAGGGCUCAACCUUGGAAUUGCCUUUGAUACUGGCUGUCUUGAGUUCGGGAGAGGUGAGUGGAAUGCCGAGUGUAGAGGUGAAAUUCGUAGAUAUUCGGAAGAACACCAGUGGCGAAGGCGACUUACUGGACACGUAUUGACGCUGAGGUGCGAAAGCGUGGGGAGCAAACAGG
rnacentral:rRNA from 1 species